CAAAGGGGGACAAAGUCAAGGGGCGAGGGGGAAGGAGGGCCCAGUAGAGCCUCUACGAUUCUUGGCUGUCUCCUCACCAGCUCCCCUCCCCCCCCAAGUCCUGUAAGAAGUUGGGCCAAGCUGGAAGGGAUUGACCGGGUUGCCUGUCGUGAGAUGGAGCCGCCAAGGCAGGGCCUGGGCGCCUGGAGUCCGGCAUGAAAGGAAAUAGCGCCUCAUCGCUCUUAUCUAAGCCCAGAGCCGCCGCCUCCUCGCCCUCGAGGGCCUCUGCGGAGAUUCCAGGCCCUCCAGAGACCCGGACGUCCCUCCGCGCCACCGCCCCUGUGCCAAUGCCGCCGGGAAACCGCCGAGACCCGCACCGGGCAAGAGAACUGCAGGGGGCCAACUGGGGGAGGCCGGAACGAGGGAGGGAAGGGGGGAGGGGGCGCACACCCACAGAGGCCGGAGCGACCGGCUUCUGGGCGCCCUGAAACCCAGACACCCCUAUGCUGUCUUUCGCAGCCCCCUCUCUGGAGCCUCCUCUCUCAGCUUAAAAGGGCGACUUAGGGCUCGCCUCCGUGGCCCCUUUCGGUUCCUCCUCCCAUCUUCCCUGCCUUGGCUCCCCCUCCAGGAAGCAGCCACCCCUCUCUUUCUCAGUCACCGAAUUUCCUGGGAAGCCUCUCCCUGCAGCGCCCAGAGAUGGGGUUCAGCCCCGUCUUGGGGUGGGGGGAGAGGGAGACAAACCUAAGCCCCACCCCCUCCAAAAUCGAUGCAAAAGAAUAAGAAUUGUAGAAUCUCCCUUACCUUUGU